rnacentral:tRNA from 1 species
GCGGGUGUGGCGGAACUGGUAGACGCGCUGGAUUUAGGUUCCAGUAUCUCACGAUGUGGAGGUUCGAGUCCUUCACCGUA